rnacentral:lncRNA from 1 species
CUCUUCUCUUGUCCACCACCAUGUGAGAUAUGCCUUCCACCUUCCACCAUGAUGGUGAGGCCUCCCCAGCCACGUGGAACUGGACCUCUGAGAGGGUCUGGAAUUAGGGUUCAGGUACCAUCCAUCUGUUACGUGCUUUGAAGAUGCCACUCCAUCUGUGGGAUUCAAUUUACAUAAACUGAAGACUAUUCUUCUGAGUUGAAGUGAGGAGAGGCAUCAAUCACACUGGAAAAUUAUUUGAUCUCCUGGAAGCAAAAAGUCCACCAUGAAGUUGUUCUUGCCAUGGACUUCUAGAGGAGCUGACUGUCCUUUGGGAAGCUACAAAUACAGCCUUAAAAUCUGUUAGCAGGGAAGAGAGGCUUUUUCUGAGUGAUCAGUGAUGACUGCACUCUGUGCGAGCAGGAAUGCUUAUUGUUUUGGACUCUGCUGUUCCCCUGGCACUGGAACUGUGCUUGGCACACAGAAGGCACUCAACAAACAUUUGAUGAAUGCAUGAACUGAUGAAUAAACAAACAAAUAAAUAAAUGGAUGCAUGAA